UACGGAGGGAGCUAGCGUUGUUCGGAAUUACUGGGCGUAAAGCGUACGUAGGCGGUUAUUCAAGUCAGAGGUGAAAGCCCGGGGCUCAACCCCGGAACUGCCUUCGAUACUGCGGGUCUCGAGUCCGGGAGAGGUGAGUGGAAUUCCUAGUGUAGAGGUGAAAUUCGUAGAUAUUAGGAAGAACACCAGUGGCGAAGGCGGCUCACUGGCCCGGUACUGACGCUGAGGCGCGAAAGCGUGGGGAGCAAACAGG
rnacentral:rRNA from 1 species